CAGCCGCCGCGGUAAUACCCGCGGCCCAAGUGGUGGUCGAUAUUAUUGAGCCUAAAACGUCCGUAGCCGGUCUUGUAAAUCCUUGGGUAAAUCGACCAGCUCAACUGUUCGAAGUCCGGGGAGACUGCAAGACUUGGGAUCGGGAGAGGUGAGAGGUACUUCUGGGGUAGGGGUAAAAUCCUGUAAUCCUAGAAGGACCACCGGUGGCGAAGGCGUCUCACUAGAACGAAUCCGACGGUGAGGGACGAAGCCCUGGGGCGCAAACGGGAUUAGAUACCCCGGUAGUCCAGGGUGUAAACGCUGCGGGCUUGGUGUUGGGGGUCCUUUGAGGGCGCCCAGUGCCGGAGAGAAGUUGUUAAGCCUGCUGCUUGGGGAGUACGUCCGCAAGGAUGAAACUUAAAGGAAUUGGCGGGGGAGCACCGCAACGGGAGGAGCGUGCGGUUCAAUUGGAUUCAACGCCGGACAACUCACCAGGAGCGACGGUUACAUGAAGGCCAGGCUGAUGACCUUGCCUGAUUUUCCGAGAGGUGGUGCAUGGCC
rnacentral:rRNA from 1 species